rnacentral:rRNA from 1 species
UACGGGGGGUGCAAGCGUUGUUCGGAUUUACUGGGCGUAAAGGGCGCGUAGGCGGUGCAACAAGUCACUUGUGAAAUCUCCGGGCUUAACCCGGAGCGGCCAAGUGAUACUGUCGUGCUAGAGUGCGGAAGGGGCUACUGGAAUUCUCGGUGUAGCGGUGAAAUGCGUAGAUAUCGAGAGGAACACCUGCGGCGAAGGCGGGUAGCUGGGCCGACACUGACGCUGAGGCGCGAAAGCCAGGGGAGCGAACGGG